rnacentral:rRNA from 1 species
AUUGAACGCUGGCGGCAUGCCUUACACAUGCAAGUCGAACGGUAACGGGCCUUCGGGUGCCGACGAGUGGCGAACGGGUGAGUAAUACAUCGGAACGUGCCCGAUCGUGGGGGAUAACGAGGCGAAAGCUUUGCUAAUACCGCAUACGAUCUACGGAUGAAAGCAGGGGACCGCAAGGCCUUGCGCGGACGGAGCGGCCGAUGGCAGAUUAGGUAGUUGGUGUGAUAAAAGCUUACCAAGCCGACGAUCUGUAGCUGGUCUGAGAGGAUGAUCAGCCACACUGGGACUGAGACACGGCCCAGACUCCUACGGGAGGUAGCAGUGGGGAAUUUUGGACAAUGGGCGCAAGCCUGAUCCAGCCAUGCCGCGUGCGGGAUGAAGGCCUUCGGGUUGUAAACUGCUUUUGUACGGAACGAAAAGCCUUCUUUUAAUACAGGAGGGUCAUGACGGUACCGUAAGAAUAAGCACCGGCUAACUACGUG